UACGAAGGGGACUAGCGUUGCUCGGAAUCACUGGGCGUAAAGGGUGCGUAGGCGGGUCUUUAAGUCAGGGGUGAAAUCCUGGAGCUCAACUCCAGAACUGCCUUUGAUACUGAAGAUCUUGAGUUCGGGAGAGGUGAGUGGAACUGCGAGUGUAGAGGUGAAAUUCGUAGAUAUUCGCAAGAACACCAGUGGCGAAGGCGGCUCACUGGCCCGAUACUGACGCUGAGGCACGAAAGCGUGGGGAGCAAACAGG
rnacentral:rRNA from 1 species